AGUGAACGCUGGCGGUAGGCCUAACACAUGCAAGUCGAACGGCAGCACAGUAAGAGCUUGCUCUUACGGGUGGCGAGUGGCGGACGGGUGAGGAAUACAUCGGAAUCUACUUUUUCGUGGGGGAUAACGUAGGGAAACUUACGCUAAUACCGCAUACGACCUACGGGUGAAAGCAGGGGAUCUUCGGACCUUGCGCGAUUGAAUGAGCCGAUGUCGGAUUAGCUAGUUGGCGGGGUAAAGGCCCACCAAGGCGACGAUCCGUAGCUGGUCUGAGAGGAUGAUCAGCCACACUGGAACGGAGACACGGUCCAGGCUCCUACGGGAGGCAGCAGUGGGGAAUAGUGGACAAUGGGCGCAAGCCUGAUCCAGCCAUACCGCGUGGGUGAAGAAGGCCUUCGGGUUGUAAAGCCCUUUUGUUGGGAAAGAAAAGCAGCAGGUUAAUACCCCGCUGUUCUGACGGUACCCAAAGAAUAAGCACCGGCUAACUUCGUG
rnacentral:rRNA from 1 species